rnacentral:rRNA from 1 species
GACGAACGCUGGCGGCGUGCCUAAUACAUGCCAGUUGAGCGCUGAAGGUUGGUACUUGUACCGACUGGAUGAGCAGCGAACGGGUGAGUAACGCGUGGGGAAUCUGCCUUUGAGCGGGGGACAACAUUUGGAAACGAAUGCUAAUACCGCAUAAAGACUUUAAACACAAGUUUUAAGUUUGAAAGAUGCAAUUGCAUCACUCAAAGAUGAUCCCGCGUUGUAUUAGCUAGUUGGUGAGGUAAAGGCCCACCAAGGCGAUGAUACAUAGCCGACCUGAGAGGGUGAUCGGCCACAUUGGGACUGAGACACGGCCCAAACUCCUACGGGAGGCAGCAGUAGGGAAUCUUCGGCAAUGGACGAAAGUCUGACCGAGCAACGCCGCGUGAGUGAAGAAGGGUUUCGGAUCGUAAAACUCUGUUGGUAGAGAAGAACGUUGGUGAGAGUGGAAAGCUCAUCAAGUGACGGUAACUACCCAGAAAGGGACGGCUAACUACGUG